AGCUUUUGUGGUUCUUAUUAUGAUUGUAAGAUGCACUUCAACAACCACCGAGGAACUUGGAAAAAAGAUUUAUUCCGCACAGGGUGAAUGUGGGCAGUGUUUGAGAUAAGAAAACUUUUUCUACACCAAGAUAAUGAAGGUUCUCACUGAUGUCCUCCACUCUUUUCUCAAGUCUGAUACCCAUGAAUUUCUGAAGACUUUCUUGAUCAACAUGAUGGAGGAAAACAUCCCCAAGUGCCUCUUUGAAUAUAAUUUUAUAUCCAGUUUGUAAAAUUGAUGAUAACAGAUAGAUCAUCCUACAAAAAAGGCAAAUCGUUCCAAUCCAUCUUUUAAUGAUGCAAUAUGAAGAAAGCAUAUUGACCUGUUAAAGACUUCUAUCAACAGCAGUUAGAUAAUGUCAUAAAUGCUCUAUAAUACUAAAAUAGUUCACCAUUACUGAAAU